AUGGGCGUAGCUCAAUUGGAAGAGCAGCGGUCUCCAAAACCGCCGGUGUAGGUUCGAGUCCUGCCGCCUGUG
rnacentral:tRNA from 1 species